rnacentral:rRNA from 1 species
GGUCAGAACGAACGCUGGCGGCGCGUUUAAGCAUGCAAGUCGAGCGGCAAGGGCCUUCGGGCCCUAGAGCGGCGGACGGGUGAGUAACACGUGGACAAUCUGCCCCCCGGCCCGGGAUAGCCCAGGGAAACCUGGAUUAAUACCGGAUGAGACGGGACCCGCGAUGGCGGGAUCCGGGAAAGGCGCUGCGGCGCCGCCGGGGGAUGAGUCUGCGUCCCAUUAGCUAGACGGCGGGGUAACGGCCCACCGUGGCGACGAUGGGUAGCCGGCCUGAGAGGGUGGACGGCCACAUUGGAACUGAGACACGGUCCAGACUCCUACGGGAGGCAGCAGCUAAGAAUCUUCCGCAAUGGGCGAAAGCCUGACGGAAGCGACGCCGCGUGAACGAAGAAGGCCGUGAGGUUGUAAAGUUCUUUUCGGGAGGGGGAACAACCGUGGCAGGGAAUGGCCGCGGGAUGACGUGAAUCCCGGAAUAAGCCCCGGCUAACUACGUGCCAGCCGCCGC